rnacentral:rRNA from 1 species
GACAGAGGUGCCGAGCGUUAGGCGGAAUCACUGGGCUUAAAGCGUGUGUAGGCGGAUCCGUAAGUACCUUGUGAAAUCCCACGGCUCAACCGUGGAACUGCUGGGUAUACUGCGGAUCUUGAGCCACCUAGGGGCGAGCGGAACAAGUGGUGGAGCGGUGAAAUGCGUAGAUAUCACUUGGAACGCCAAUGGUGAAAACAGCUCGCUGGGGGUGUGCUGACGCUGAGACACGAAAGCCAGGGGAGCAAACGGG